GCCGGGCGUGGUGGCAGGCGCCUGUAAUCCCAGCUACUCGGGAGGCUGAGAUAGGAGAAUGGCAUGAACCCAGGAGGUGGAGCUUGCAGUGAGCAGAGAUAGUGCCACUGCGCUCCAGCCUGGGUGACAGAGCAAGACUCUAUCUCUA
rnacentral:sRNA from 1 species